rnacentral:rRNA from 1 species
GACGAACGCUGGCGGCGUGCUUAACACAUGCAAGUCGAACGGAAAGGCCCUGCUGUUGUGGGUUGCUCGAGUGGCGAACGGGUGAGUAACACGUGAGUAACCUGCCCUUGACUUUGGGAUAACUUCAGGAAACUGGGGCUAAUACCGGAUAGGAGCUCCUGCUGCAUGGUGGGGGUUGGAAAGUUUCGGCGGUUGGGGAUGGACUCGCGGCUUAUCAGCUUGUUGGUGGGGUAGUGGCUUACCAAGGCUUUGACGGGUAGCCGGCCUGAGAGGGUGACCGGCCACAUUGGGACUGAGAUACGGCCCAGACUCCUACGGGAGGCAGCAGUGGGGAAUAUUGCACAAUGGGCGGAAGACUGAUGCAGCAACGCCGCGUGCGGGAUGACGGCCUUCGGGUUGUAAACCGCUUUCGCCUGUGACGAAGCGUGAGUGACGGUAAUGGGUAAAGAAGCACCGGCUAACUACGUG